rnacentral:rRNA from 1 species
UACGAAGGGUGCUAGCGUUGUUCGGAAUUACUGGGCGUAAAGGGCGCGUAGGCGGCUUUACAAGUCAGGGGUGAAAUCCCACGGCUCAACCGUGGAAUUGCCUUUGAAACUGUAAAGCUAGAGUGUCGGAGGGGAUAGCGGAAUUGCUAAUGUAGAGGUGAAAUUCGUAGAUAUUAGCAGGAACACCGGUGGCGAAGGCGGCUAUCUGGACGACAACUGACGUUGAGGCGCGAAAGCAUGGGGAUCAAACAGG